UGACAACGUUUACCCAAUAUUGUGCACGCGUCAUCACUCAUGUACAAGAUGGCAGCCGCUUGUGAGACCUUCAACAAUUUGGGGAUUUUUAAGACGUGAUUUCUUUGUUCCAGGACUCAGUUAUUGAAAUCCCUCGCGAUUGCUGUCUCUAGCAUGCAAUUCACAUUGCAGAGUUCAAAGUUGAAUAAAACCGCAAGGAUCAAUAACAAAGGUACACAACAACUA